rnacentral:rRNA from 1 species
CCUACGGGAGGCAGCAGUGAGGAAUAUUGGUCAAUGGACGCAAGGCUGAACCAGCCAUGCCGCGUGCAGGAAGACGGCUCUAUGAGUUGUAAACUGCUUUUGUACGGGGGUAAACGCAGAUACGCGUAUCUGUCUGAGAGUAUCGUACGAAUAAGGAUCGGCUAACUCCGUGCCAGCAGCCGCGGUAAUACGGAGGAUUCAAGCGUUAUCCGGAUUUAUUGGGUUUAAAGGGUGCGUAGGCGGUCGGAUAAGUUAGAGGUGAAAUCCCGAGGCUCAACGUCGGCAUUGCCUCUGAUACUGUUCGGCUAGAGAGUAGUUGCGGUAGGCGGAAUGUAUGGUGUAGCGGUGAAAUGCUUAGAGAUCAUACAGAACACCGAUUGCGAAGGCAGCUUACCAAGCUACUUCUGACGUUGAGGCACGAAAGCGUGGGGAGCAAACAGGAUUAGAUACCCUUGUAGUC